UAAUGUCUUAGUGGAUGUACUAAACAUACUUGAUUCAUCACGCCGGGUUUCCAAAAUUUAGUAAAUAAAUAAUUGAAAACUAAAUUCUUGAGUUAAGGACACCAACAAUAUCCUUACUCGAUUUUCUUAAAUAAUUGGAUUUAUAAAUAAACCAAUUAAAUCAUGAAUGCUUUCACUCACAAAAAUACUUGAUGCAAAUCAUUUCAUGCUUAAUCAUAUAUGCACAUAAUAAUAUUAAUAUUAUUCUGCAAAUCAUUCUUUAAAUUAAUUAAUUAAACUAAUGAUAGCUCAAUCAAUUAAUUAAAAUGAGGCAGCCCAAUGAUAUAUUAAAAUCAGGGCCCAAUAUUAUAAAUAAGCAGCCCAUUUAAUAAUAAUUCAGAGGCCCAAUUGAAAAAAUAAUUGAAGGGCCCAAACCUAAUUAAACCUAAAGCCCAAUUCUUCAUCUCUUUAAACACACACACACACACACACACGCACCACACAGCUGCGCCGCAGCAGGCACCCUCUCCCCCCCCUCCCCUCUCUUCUUCUCCGGCGGCGGUAGCAGCGCCGCCUCCGCCGCCCGACCGCCGUCGCCCUCUUGCUUCUCAAACCCUCCCAUGUCUCUCUCUUUCUCCCUCACGGCAGUACACACUCACACAAUGGACAACGUCGCGACCUUCUCCCUCAAAAUUUCCGGCGACAGCCACCACCACCAUGGCCGCCGCCGCGUUCUCGACUCCCUUGACGGCUGGAGAACCAACGCCACCCCUUUCUUCCUCUGAACAGGACAACGGCGGAGUCACCGCCGUCGACCGCACCUUCCAUCUCUCUCUCUCACCACUCAGCCCCAAAAACCAGAACCACCCCUUGACUCCCGGCGACCGCACGACCGAAAGGCCGCCGCCGCUAAGCUCAGCUAAAGCCCCCAGAUUUUCCGCCUGCCCCUCCUUUCUCUCUACGCGCCGAACGGACAGCAGUGAUGAACCGCCGCCGACCGCCGCGUCCCUCCCUCUCUAGGCCGAACAGUAGCAGCUCCCGCCACCACCGUCGCUCCCUUCCAUCUCCGACUUCACACUCACGAUAGAGACAACAUCACCGGCCCUCAAUCCACACAACAAAACAGUUCAAGACUCAACCUUUUCUUUUCUUUCUUCAUAAACAUGCUUCACAUAUAUGUAUGCAUAUGUAUUUUGUAAUGAAAUUGUCAUUUGUUCAUUCAAAUAUUUGCAUAUGUAUAUAUAAAAAGUAUACACAAUAUAUACACCGAAUGUAUGAGUAUUUUGCAACUAGAAGAAACUUGACAGUCAAAUGGUGUAAGGGAAAGAAUGGAAAAGAAUGAACCUUUGGAAUUAUAAGUUGAGGUGUGCGGCUGUUACUGUGAAAUUGAUGAAAAAUGUGAACUUGAUUUGCUUCCUAUUCUUAGUCGGGCUUGAUUUCUUGAAGGAGCAAGGUUGGCGGAUUCUUGUGAAAAUGAGAGAAUGAAACUUGGCUUGCAGUAUGAAUUUGGUUUGGCAAGGGAGUAGAGGAGUGUUGGGGAUGCCUCUGCCAAGCAUGGCUUAAAGUUGAAGUUAGUAGCUUAGCAUAGGCAUAGUGUAGGGUGGCUGAUGGGAUAGAUGAGUGUAAGUGAGUUGAGUGAGGAUUUGAUAUUUAAAAUCCCUCAGGAUUGAAUUAUCGAAACUGUAACAAUUCAUCAGGGUUCGCUAAAUAAAAAAUAUUUGUUUAAAUGCUCAAUGCUCAACUAUUCAAUUUAAAUAAAUAUGCAAUGCAUAAGAAUUUAAAUAAUUAAAUUUACAAAUAUUUUUUUUUGUAAAUCAUUUUUUGUUGGAAUUAAAAUAAACUCGUUUUUAUUCUCCAGCGUGAAUCGUCUCAUACUUCUAAGUUCAAAAUUUACUCUAAAUCUAGCUAGGGAAAAGCGGGGCGUUACAUCCCUCCCUCCUUAUAAAAAUUCCGUCCUCGAA
rnacentral:lncRNA from 1 species